AUCUUAGUACGGCGAGUGACCGGGAUGAGCUCAAAUUUGAAAUCUGGCGUCUUUCAGGCGUCCGAGUUGUAAUCUAUAGAGGCGUUUUCCGCGCCGGACCGCGUCCAAGUCUCUUGGAAUAGAGUAUCAAAGAGGGUGACAAUCCCGUACUUGACGCGACAACCGGUGCUCUGUGAUACGUUCUCAACGAGUCGAGUUGUUUGGGAAUGCAGCUCUAAAUGGGUGGUAAAUUCCAUCUAAGGCUAAAUAUUGGCGAGAGACCGAUAGCGAACAAGUACCGUGAGGGAAAGAUGAAAAGCACUUUGGAAAGAGAGUUAAACAGCACGUGAAAUUGUUAAAAGGGAAACGAUUGAAGUCAGUCGUGUGAAAGGUAUUCAGCCGUCUCUGGCGGUGUAUUUGCCUUUCACGGGUCAACAUCAGUUUAGUCCGGUAGAAAAAGGCUGGAGGAAGGUGGCACCCUCGGGUGUGUUAUAGCCUCCUGUCAUAUGUGCCGGAUUAGACUGAGGAACGCAGCUUGCAGCAAUGCCGGGGUUCGCCCACGUACAAGCUUAGGAUGUUGACAUAAUGGCUUUAAACGACCCGUCUUGA
rnacentral:rRNA from 1 species